AAACUCAGAGCAUAAGGCGGAUUUAGUAGUAAGUUAAGAAUAGAGAGCUUAGCUGAAUGGGGCAAUAAAGCACGCACACACCGCCCGUCACCCUAUUCAAAUAUACUUCUUAUAUAUUUAAUAAAAUAAAUUAUUAAUAGAAUUAUAAAUAUAUAAGAAGAGACAAGUCGUAACAAGGUAAACAUACUGGAAAGUGUGUUUGGAAUAACCAAAAU
rnacentral:rRNA from 1 species